GGUUUAUAAGCCGAAUUUUUCUCCAUUCCUUCUUCAUUCCGCCCGAUCCCUUCUCCCCACUUACGCCGACUCUUCCUCCUCUUCCGCCCGAUCGACGCCGAUCAUCCUCAGAUCGUCGGCCAGCCGGGGUUUUCUUCCAAUUCCUCAGCAUCGCCGUCAACUCUCGCGGGCCGCCUCUCAGCACUGAUCUGAGCCGAGUCCUCCUCUUCGUCACUGGCGCAGAUCUGGCCAUCGUCUUCUCAUACCUAGCCGUGGACACCCAGCCUCGCCGGUAGUCGGACACUCGAUUCCACCCUACCGGCGGAGCCUAGUCGUCACGCGCCGCCUUCUUUCAUCCCGAUCUCCUCAUCUCGCCGACACCACCGCCGCGAACCUUCCUUUGCCCAAUCUCGCCGGUGUUGAGCUUCCUUAGAUCCAGCCGUUGGUUGCGGAGGAGCACACCACUGUCAGCUCCGACCUUCUCCCAUUUAUCCUCUUCCUCAAGUCUCCAUCGCCUCUGAUCGUCGCUCUUGGCUCUCCACUAACAGUGGUUAUUGGGAGCCAAAUACUUCUGCCGGUAGGCCAUCUCUUCGCUAUCACUGGCCAUGAUUGAGGGAGGAGGGCAUCUAUCAGGAGGAAAUCCCUAAUCCUUCACAACAAUGACCGAGAUCAUCAUUGAACGAUUAUAGGCUUGCCUGGAGAGUUUCCUCUUCAACACAGUAGCCUCUGCCGAUUUGGAUUGAAGCUCUGGCCGACUUUGUUGAGGACGAUCCACAGAUGUGAGCAACCUACUUGGAUUUGAGUAAGUUGGGAAGGAUUUUGAUCCGAGAUGAGCGUCUCGAUGUGAGGUCAUUUGGCACGAUCGACAUAUAUA